AUUGAACGCUGGCGGCAUGCCUUACACAUGCAAGUCGAACGGCAGCGCGGACUUCGGUCUGGCGGCGAGUGGCGAACGGGUGAGUAAUGCAUCGGAACGUACCUUUCAGUGGGGGAUAACGCAGCGAAAGUUGCGCUAAUACCGCAUAUUCUGUGAGCAGGAAAGCAGGGGAUCGCAAGACCUUGCGCUGAUUGAGCGGCCGAUAUCAGAUUAGCUAGUUGGUGAGGUAAAGGCUCACCAAGGCGACGAUCUGUAGCGGGUCUGAGAGGAUGAUCCGCCACACUGGAACUGAGACACGGUCCAGACUCCUACGGGUGGCUG
rnacentral:rRNA from 1 species